AGAGCGAACGCUGGCGGCGUGCUUAACACAUGCAAGUCGAACGCGCAGCAUUCUGUAGCAAUACAGGGUGUGGGCGCGUGGCGAACGGGUGCGUAACACGUGGAUAACCUUCCUUGAGGUGGGGAAUAACCCAGUGAAAAUUGGGCUAAUACCGCAUAACAUCGCGAUGGCACAUGCUGAUGCGAUCAAAGGCGCAAGUCGCCACAAGAGGGAUCCGCGGCCUAUCAGCUUGUUGGUGGGGUAACGGCCUACCAAGGCGACGACGGGUA
rnacentral:rRNA from 1 species